AUCAAUAAGCGGAGGAAAAGAAACUAACAAGGAUUCCCCUAGUAACGGCGAGUGAAGAGGGAAAAGCUCAAAGUUGGAACCUGUUUGGCUUAGCUAAACCGGAUUGUAAACUAAAGAGCCGUUUUCCAGACGAGCUAAGCAAAAAAGUCCCUUGGAACAGGGCAUCAUAGAGGGUGAGAAUCCCGUCUUUGGCUUAAGCGAUUUCGUCUUUAUGUGAUACGGCUUCAAAGAGUCAGGUUGUUUGGGAAUGCAGCCUAAAGUGGGUGGUAAAUCUCAUCUAAAGCUAAAUAUUGGCGAGAGACCGAUAGCGAACAAGUACCGUGAGGGAAAGAUGAAAAGAACUUUGAAAAGAGAGUUAAACAGUAUGUGAAAUUGCUGAAAGGGAACCGUUUGAGGUUAGACUAGCUGGUCAGUAAUCAAUCUUGGUUUCGACCAUGAUGCACUUGCUGGCCUUUGGCUAGCCAACGACAGUUUUUUCUGUAGGAAAAAAUGUGCAGGAAUGUGGCUCUUCGGAGUGUUAUAGCCUGCUAUAGAAUACUACGGAAGAGACUGAGGCUCGCAGCGAACGCUAUUAUGGCGAGGAUCAGGUUAACUUUGUGAUAAUGUGUGCUACUACUCAGCUUGCUGCGGUAAUGCAUGUUGUUGUUUGGUAUUGGCUUGUUUACCUUUAGUCGCUGGUCGUUGCUAA
rnacentral:rRNA from 1 species